UCUGUUGUUAAAGAAGAACAUAUCUGAGAGUAACUGUUCAGGUAUUGACGGUAUUUAACCAGAAAGCCACGGCUAACUACGUGCCAGCAGCCGCGGUAAUACGUAGGUGGCAAGCGUUGUCCGGAUUUAUUGGGCGUAAAGCGAGCGCAGGCGGUUUUUUAAGUCUGAUGUGAAAGCCUUCGGCUCAACCGAAGAAGUGCAUCGGAAACUGGGAAACUUGAGUGCAGAAGAGGACAGUGGAACUCCAUGUGUAGCGGUGAAAUGCGUAUAUAUAUGGAAGAACACCAGUGGCGAAGGCGGCUGUCUGGUUCUGUAACUGACGCUGAGGCUCGAAAGUAUGGGUAGCAAACAGGAUUAGAUACCCUGGUAGUCCAUACCGUAAACGAUGAAUGCUAAGUGUUGGAGGGUUUCCGCCCUUCAGUGCUGCAGCUAACGCAUUAAGCAUUCCGCCUGGGGAGUACGGCCGCAAGGCUGAAACUCAAAGGAAUUGACGGGGGCCCGCACAAGCGGUGGAGCAUGUGGUUUAAUUCGAAGCUACGCGAAGAACCUUACCAGGUCUUGACAUACUAUGCAAAUCUAAGAGAUUAGACGUUCCCUUCGGGGACAUGGAUACAGGUGGUGCAUGGUUGUCGUCAGCUCGUGUCGUGAGAUGUUGGGUUAAGUCCCGCAACGAGCGCAACCCUUAUUAUCAGUUGCCAGCAUUAAGUUGGGCACUCUGGUGAGACUGCCGGUGACAAACCGGAGGAAGGUGGGGAUGACGUCAAAU
rnacentral:rRNA from 1 species